GAUGAACGCUGGCGGCGUGCUUAACACAUGCAAGUCGAACGGAAAGGCCCAAGCUUGCUUGGGUACUCGAGUGGCGAACGGGUGAGUAACACGUGGGUGAUCUGCCCUGCACUUCGGGAUAAGCCUGGGGAACUGGGUCUAAUACCGGAUAGGACCACAUUUUGGAUGGUGUGGUGGAAAGUUUUUCGGUGUGGGAUGAGCUCGCGGCCUAUCAGCUUGUUGGUGGGGUAAUGGCCUACCAAGGCGUCGACGGGUAGCCGGCCUGAGAGGGUGUACGGCCACAUUGGGACUGAGAUACGGCCCAGACUCCUACGGGAGGCAGCAGUGGGGAAUAUUGCACAAUGGGCGCAAGCCUGAUGCAGCGACGCCGCGUGGGGGAUGACGGCCUUCGGGUUGUAAACUCCUUUCGCUAGGGACGAAGCGUUAUGUGACGGUACCUGGAGAAGAAGCACCGGCUAACUACGUG
rnacentral:rRNA from 1 species